CAAAAUCCUGGUGAUCUGGAGACUGAGCCUCACACUACAGUGAUUUGACGGAGAAAGAGGAUGGACUUAAAAACGACUUUGUUGUUGCUGGCGGCGGGGGUGAUUUGGGCGGCAUUAAUGCUGAUGUUUUUAUACCUGUAUUUUUGCUACAGGAAUGAUAAUAAGAAGGAAAUAAAAUACUCUAAAUUGGAAGAGAUCGUGGUGGAGGGGAAAGGAGAAAAAAAAGCUGAUGACCUAUCGCAGAUGGAGGAGGACAGCGGAGAGUGAACCGCAGAAGAUGUGAACAGCUGGGAGUUGGGGAAAAGGGAAAAACAUAAAAGGGGAGUAACAAAAAAAAUAUAAAAAAUAUAAAAAUAAUAAAAAAAAAUAGAAAAUAAUCUGAAAAAAAAAAAAAAAAAAUAAUAAUCUAAAAAAAAAUAAAAAAAAUAAGAUGAGUUGUGGUAGUAUGUGUGUAUCUUUGUAGGUGUAGGGGCUAAGCUCCCGAUAGUGGUGGUGUUGGGGGUAAAGAUUAAGGAGCAGAAAAGAGAUCCAGUAGGGGAAGAAGAAGCUUAAAGGGGUACUCCGAACAGAAACAAAUGUUUUAAAAUCAACUGGUGCAAGAAAGUUAUGCAGAUUUCUAUAUUACUUCUUUUUAAAAAUCUUCCAGUACAGUGGUUCUUAACCUGGGUUUGAUCCAGGGGUUCGGUCAGUCCCGGGGGUUCGGCGGGGAGGUCGCAACAUGACAGGCAAACCAAGCAAUU